AAUUUUGUAAAGUUGUUUAGGACAUGUGUUAAUCCCUCAACAACGAAGGAUAACACGCGUCACCGAUCUCUUUCAACUUCACCGUCCCGAGAUUAUGCCGGAAACUGAUCGGCGCCACACAAGAGACAAGCACUGCUUCACAUACCUCCAACGCCGGAUUUUCUUCCCACAGAGAGCAUCCCUCAACCAAAUUAAGAUCUCGUCCGGAUCACCAAACUAUCCAUACAGAAAUGGAUCCCCAAAACACAACCUCCGCCUUCAUCACCAUAGCAUAGCCAUCGGAGAGCUUCAUCGACUGCCGAGAUCUCAUCCAAUCGGACCGAACUGUCAAACUGAAGACAAGAGAAACACCCCAUCA
rnacentral:lncRNA from 1 species